CCGGCCCCGCCCGCCCCCGUCGCCUCCGCGCCAACCCCCGCCUCCUCCAGCCGGAUCCGGCGGUUGCUGCUGCUGUUGCCAGUGGCGGCGCUCUUGACGGCGGAGAAGAAUCCGCCUCCACCUCCACCGGGAACGUCGUGCGGGCGGCGCUUCUUGUUCUUGGCAUCGCCGUCGUCCCGCUGGACGGACGUGCACAGCGCCCUCCGCCGCCGCCGCCGCCGCCGGCCGGCCCCGCCCGCCCCCGUCGCCUCCGCGCCAACCCCCGCCUCCUCCAGCCGGAUCCGGCGGUGGCCAUGCCGGCACUGGCCAUGGCGCCGGCGCCCUUCUGCGACCCGGGGAGCGCCUCGGCUCAUGCCCUGCCCUGCCGCCGCGUUCCGCCGCCUCCUCGACGCGCUGGCCGGCGCCGCUGCUGCCGGCGCUUGCGCCCCGCGAUCGCCCGAGAAGCCCCUGCUGAACACCGGCUGAGAGGGAAAUGGUAGGAGGGGCAGCACAGCAGGGGCAUAAGGGACAUUUUACAGAAGAGGUGCUAAACUUUAGCCCUCUUCCCAAACACCCAAUGUGCUAAAGUUUAGCCCUUUCAUUUGAGAGGGCUAAAGUUUUAGCCAGGGCUAAAUUUUAGCCCCUUCCUCCCAAACAGGGCUUUAAUUUAUUUGCACUAGUGGAUCCGAUGAUAACGAAGUGCGUGUGGUGAUAAACGGAAAGCAAACGAUAGGGGGAGGAAGAAACGUGGAGAAUCGGUUUUAUUUGCAUGAACUUUGCACGAAAAAUCUUAAGCAGCAUGCAUGUUGGCAAUUCGCAUCUUCUUUUCCCCCGGCCCUUUUCUUGGUGGGCUAGCUAGCUACUGAUGAUCAUCAUCUAUUCCCUUUCGCUCAUUUGGCAUCCCGCAACUCAUUGCAUAUAUGCCCCUGAAAUUCGCUAUCUCUCUCUCUCUCUCUCUCUCUUUCAGAACAUGCAUGUAUAUGUAGACCAUACACGACCUACAAUUUUGAAGUAGUAUAAAGAGAGAUUUUGAACGAAUCAGGGAAAAAAUUAAACAUAAAGGACGACUCAACAUGAAGUAGUAUAUAUUGUAAAUUAAAGAGUGGUCACUGAAUAUACUAUGAAACAAGUGCCUUUUGAACCUAAUAUUAAUUAUUCACUAGCAUGCAUGUUUAAUAUGUGCAGUAUAUAUAAUUUAGUAAUUUGUCCAGAGAAAGAGGUAAGUGGUGGUAGCUAGUGGGGGGCCGGCUAGCUCUUUCUUUCCCUUUGCCAGUUAGGGUAAAAGAUGCAAAGCCCAGACAGGUUGCAUUUACGAGGAUUGAAUAUGCCUGCACCCUUCUCUCCUCUCCAUCAUGGUCAUCGUCUUCCUUGGAUCGACGAUACCAUCUCUUCUCUGUGUCCUUUCUCCUUUGUCAAAAUAUAUGCCAAACUUAUUCCUCAGACACGCACUGUCAUACGUACACUAGUAUAUACGCAUACAGUAUAUAGCACAGAUCGAUAUGAUGAUGCUUAAUUUAUUGCCUGCACGUUAAGUUUCUGAUCGAUGGGAUGUACGAUACUAGCUCUAAGACAAAAGUAAAUUACCUAUCUAGUGCCACGCGGAUGAUCAUUUCAUGUAUUUAUUAUAUACAACAUAAUCAUUCUAUGUGUGGUGGAACCGUGGAGAAGAGUAGUAGAAUCAAAGUGCAUACUUCAUACAAGUGUCCAGUUAGUUAGCAAGCUUUCUACAGUCAUGAUAUGGAGUGGUAGAUUGGUUGUAGUGAAUUGCAUGCCCAUUUUUACCUAUACAUCAACUUUGUUUUUCUUUUGAUCAAGUGCAUAUAACUAAAUUGGUGAUCAAUGCAAGUACAGUAAUUACCAGCUGGAGGCGGAGUUACCUGUACUGUAGGUAGCCAGGUAGGUAUGAAUAGCUAGCGGUGCGCAUGAUGUGGAGAUGACAGAAUUGAGCAGGCAAGCGGCGACAAGAGGGUAAGUUGUGUGGUGUGGGAGGGAGAAGCUAGCUGUUGGCUCCCCCGGCCGUCUACUAGUUGAUACGAGUACACAAGACUCUGCACGCCUCAAUUCAUGUCUGGCUGCCACUUUUUUCUGUACAUGCAUGCUAGCUGUAUCAAACAAGCCAAACCGGAAUGCAGGGUUUCAGCUGCAGACUCGACUGUACGUAUAGUAACCGAUUAAUUGAUGAAUACGCAGUGCUCAAAUAUCUUGUCGUUUCGUCUUUAGUUUGCUUUUGCUUGAUAGAUAUACAUCGCCCCCUAGCUCGCUCUAUAUGUCCUUUAAUUCUCUCUGUACGUUUAUUCUUCUUGAAACCCUUGUUGUGCUUGGAAUGAAUGUGUUCUUCUAGAACACAUGCGCCCCAGGCCCCACAAAGUAGAAAACUACGGAUGAUACUCGGCGAGAAUUCUCAUAGAUCACGAGGCGAAUGUACAAAUUGAACCUAACUCAGCUGUUAAGCUUUGUUGCGGUAGAUGCUAUCCACCCGAAUUUGAAUCAAUCGACUCGGCAAGAACACUCACAUUUUGUUUGAUUGUUAUAAGAUUUAAUCGGUGCUAUUCUAUCAGUGGAGGUGACAUGCCUAUUAGCAGGACACCUAUGGUUAUUUCGUCAAUCUUUAAUACUGAUUUGAUCUCUCGGAUGUGCUCGUGCGCUACGUGUGUAUUUAUAAGAAUAAGUGUGCGUACAUGUAUGUGUCCAAUCUAGCCCAUGUACGCGGCCCAAGAUAUGUGGCCUAGUCCAGCUUCACAAAAUCGUUCGCCCUGUUUACUACACUCAUUCUUGUUGGGCCC
rnacentral:lncRNA from 1 species